UACGUAGGGGGCAAGCGUUGUCCGGAAUCAUUGGGCGUAAAGCGCGUGUAGGCGGCCCGGUAAGUCCGCUGUGAAAGUCCAGGGCUCAACCCUGGAAUGCCGGUGGAUACUGUCGGGCUCGAGUCCGGAAGAGGCGAGUGGAAUUCCUGGUGUAGCGGUGAAAUGCGCAGAUAUCAGGAGGAACACCGAUGGCGAAGGCAGCUCGCUGGGACGUUACUGACGCUGAGACGCGAAAGCGUGGGGAGCAAACAGG
rnacentral:rRNA from 1 species